CCUACGAGGUGCAGCAGUGGGGAAUAUUGGACAAUGGGGGGAACCCUGAUCCAGCGCCGCCGCGUGAGUGAAGAAGUAUUUCGGUAUGUAAAGCUCUAUCAGCAGGGCAGACAGAAAUGACGGUACCUGCCUAAGAAGCCCCGGCUAACUACGUUCCAGCAGCCGCGUUAAUACGUAGGGGGCAAGCGUUAUCCGGAUUUACUGGGUGUAAAGGGAGCGUAGACGGCGAUGCAAGUCUGAAGUGAAAGGCGGGGGCCCAACCCCCGGAAUGCUUUGGAAAAUGGAUGGCUGGAGUGCAGGAGAGGUAAGUGGAAUUCCUAGUGUAGCGGUGAAAUGCGUAGAUAUUAGGAGGAACACCAGUGGCGAAGGCAGCUUACUGGACUGUAACUGACGUUGAGGCUCGAAAGCGUGGGGAGCAAACAGGAUUAGAUACCCCGGUAGUC
rnacentral:rRNA from 1 species